CAAUCUUUGGCUGGAGCACUUCAGAGAAAUUGUAUUAGAGAUUUGGGGAAAACUGAUGAAAUGUGCAUUGUUCAUUGCUCGUAUUCGUACUAUGGAUUCGUUGACGAAAAUUUCAAGAUCACUAAAAAAACAUAUUCAAAAAUUCGGAAAUAUCCUAGUUACAUUCGGUGCUGUUCCUAAAAAAGAUAAAAAGAAACUCUUAGAGCACAUUCAGACUUGCGCAGAUUCUGCAAAUGCUGAUCAACCACAAACUAGAACUGAAAAAUGUAGAAAAAUAAUAAUGUACUAUCGCUGUGUUGUGGAUAAAAAAAAUAUUAUCUUCUAAUAGUUAUGCUGAUGCAAUGAUUAAAUUUGAUAGAACCAUUGACGUAUGAAGCAAAGAUAAAUUUAAAAAAAAAAAACAUCAAGAUUAUGUUGGAAAGAAAAAGAUAAAAAAAAUUGUGCUAAUCAAAUUGAAUUAACGCUUAAUGCUAAUUAAAAAAAAAAGAAAAAAAUAAAUUGAAAAAUAGUACCUACAUAGUGGAUGGGAAAAAAUUUUCUUGGAAUAACAAUUCCAAUGCAUUAAAAUCCAGUAUCCACCAUAUAGUGAUGGGAUAGUCAAUGUAUAAUGUAAGGAAUAAAAUAAAAUAAAUGGCAACAUCUUA